GCACUCGCUUUGGUAGUACAUGUACUAAAAUUGGAAUGGUACAGAUAAAAGUAUCAUGGCCCCUGAGCAAGGAUGACAUGCACAUUCACAAAGUGUUCUGUAUUUUA
ensembl:snRNA U6 U6 spliceosomal RNA